GCAUGUUGUGCAACACUUAAGCUAAUUUUGCCAUUUCUAUUUUAUGUUUAGAAUGUGUCCCACAUCUUUGAGGAUUCCCAAUGCUUCCAAGAUUGAGACAAGACCCACAGCAACACAAUCCCCAGUGCUGCAAAGCUCCAGCCUAAAAAAUAAGGUGGAUCUUAAUUUCUGUAUUUGAGGAGAACACUUCAUUUUUGAAAAGAAGAGAGUGAGAACCUGAGGACAUGGAACCAGAGAACCUAGCAAGUGCUGAUGAAAAGAAAAACAGGAAAAAGCAACCAGUUUACAACUCUACCCUGGCUUUCUUUCUGUACUAUGGUCUCCAGGAGAUGUAGUGUUGCCAGAAAAGUUCUGUGGGAGGAAUCAUCCAUUUCCAACCUUCCUUUUUUUCCCUUAGAGCUAUAGUUAAAAUACUAUAAAACUGC